UACGUAGGGACCAAGCGUUGUUCGGAUUUACUGGGCGUAAAGGGCGCGUAGGCGGCGCGGUAAGUCACUUGUGAAAUCUCUGAGCUUAACUCAGAACGGCCAAGUGAUACUGCAGUGCUAGAGUGUGGAAGGGGCAAUCGGAAUUCUUGGUGUAGCGGUGAAAUGCGUAGAUAUCAAGAGGAACACCGGUGGCGAAGGCGGGUCUCUGGGCCGAUACUGACGCUGAGGAGCAAAAGCGUGGGGAGCGAACAGG
rnacentral:rRNA from 1 species